CUGGUCAGAAUCAACGCUGGCGGCGUGCCUAACACGUGCAAGUCGAACGCGACUGAGGGCUUCGGCUCUCAGCUGAGUGGCGAACGGGUGAGUAACACGUGGGUGACCUACCUUCGAAUGGGGGAUAACGUCCCGAAAGGGACGCUUAAUACCGCAUAACAUCCUGCCUUUGAACAGGUGGAGAUCAAAGCUGGGGAUCGCAAGACCUAGCGUUUGGAGAGGGGCCCGCGUCCGAUUAGCUAGUUGGUGGGGUAACGGCUCACCAAGGCGACGAUCGGUGGCCGGCCUGAGAGGGCGGACGGCCACACUGGGACUGAGACACGGCCCAGACUCCUACGGGAGGCAGCAGUGGGGAAUUGUUCGCAAUGGGCGCAAGCCUGACGACGCAACGCCGCGUGGAGGAUGAAGGUCUANGGAUUGUAAACUCCUGUUGCCCGGGACGAAACGCUUCGACCUAACACGUCGAAGUCUGACANUACCGGGUAGGAAGC
rnacentral:rRNA from 1 species